ACAAACUUCAAAAAUGGAAGCGUUUGCAGGGAUGCAAACAUGCCGUUUCCACAGCUGCUGUUAUUUCUGAGAAAAACUGGCCAGAAAUAUGUGGGAAUAAAUUAACUAUUGCGGGCUAGCGGCUACAUUGUAUGACCUUACACUGUUCCGGUUGUCGAGAAGAUAUCUCACAGGAGUUUGUCAUCGCGAUUGGUUUUCUUCUAUAAUAUACCUCUCACUGGGACCUACCAGAUGCAACAAUCGUAUCCAAGCCUCUACGGCAGCCAGACAACGCAAGGUGAAUUGACGAUUUCGAUUCUUUAUCGAUGAGAAUUCCGGAGGGAACCGUUGGGACAAUGCGGUACAAUCGGCAAAAAAAAGACAAAGCCUGCACAAUAUAUGCCAUCUUUUUCGGGAUAUUUGGACUUGUUUCAUUCCUUCUUAACCAGCAGUGAGCAUGCUGAUUUCCAGUUAAAGGUAGCCUCACACAUCGGGAAAAUUUUCCGCCGGAAUUUGGUCCUAGUGCAUUUUAAAUUUUGAUUUUCCGUGCCCAAAUUCCCCAAAAAAACGCUCAUGUAAAAAUACGUGGGGGGAAAUUCGAGGACCAAGUUCCCGAGGUGUGAGGCUGCCUUGCUAUACCUUUAAAAGCACGGAACCAAAAUCCGGCGAAAAAUUUUCCGAUGUGAAAGGUUGCCCUAAACUGU